CUGAACAAAAUUGAUUAUUUUUUGGACAAAAAUAACAUCUUUAAUAUUAUAAAUUUCCUUUUGUAUCCCUCUCCCUCCUAGAUGCUCAAAUUUAUCAUAACUAUUUUCCUCCUCUUCGAUGUGCCCAUAGUCAGACCACCACCACGGCACCAUCAACCCAUCACCAUUACCAUCAUCAUCUUCAACUAAUGGUAAAAUACUCUUAUCGUACUCCCAGCGAUACUCUCUGUACUGAUGCUUCACUUCCUCCAUGAGUGCCCAGUAAUGGUCUUUGUAUACCUCUGUGAGUUCCUUGAGCUGGCCAGACCGUCGACUUUUUAUCUCUCUCCAUCUGAGUCAGAAACUCAGACUCGGACAAGACCGAGUCUUCGUCGAUCUCCAUUUGUAAUGAGUCGGUGAUGGCCUCGGCUAUAUCUUAGUCGCUGUGGGUUUGAUUAUUCUAUGAUUUGGUAAUGGAGUUAGGGUUGGGGUUUGUGGAAUUGGGGUUGGCGAAUUGGGAAUGUAGAGAUUGAUGUUGAUUGUUCUUGACAUGCCAUGUUAAUACCUCACUAGCUGCAUCAUUGCCCCAAGUGCAAAGAUACCUUAUUUGUAUGUCGAUUGCCUAUUUUAAACUACAGUUUCUGACAUCUGCUUAGACUAAUAAUCGAUGUGGGACAUAAAGCACAAAAAAGGUUUUGAUGUCUGUAGCUUC
rnacentral:lncRNA from 1 species